rnacentral:lncRNA from 1 species
GUUUUUCUUCAGAUGAGUUAGCCCGAGUUGCUAGUUAUGCCAAAGUGCAGUUGACUCUUCGCCUGGCAACUUUUCACCCUUCUUGGGGAAUGUGGCUUCCAUGGAUAGUGCUAGAGGGCAUUUACACAACAAUUUUAUGAACAAACAGGUUAGCAGAGCACAUCGGUUGCAUUCCUGAACGAGAGCUGAAGUUAGCAUCUUCCUCUGAGACCCCAAGUGGUGUCUCUCUAAUGACAAGGGAAUAUUCUUGCACAUGUGCAGAUGUCGGGC